GAUGAACGCUGGCGGCGUGCCUAAUACAUGCAAGUCGAGCGAAUGGAUUAAGAGCUUGCUCUUAUGAAGUUAGCGGCGGACGGGUGAGUAACACGUGGGUAACCUGCCCAUAAGACUGGGAUAACUCCGGGAAACCGGGGCUAAUACCGGAUAACAUUUUGAACCGCAUGGUUCGAAAUUGAAAGGCGGCUUCGGCUGUCACUUAUGGAUGGACCCGCGUCGCAUUAGCUAGUUGGUGAGGUAACGGCUCACCAAGGCAACGAUGCGUAGCCGACCUGAGAGGGGGAUCGGCCACACUGGGACUGAGACACGGCCCAGACUCCUACGGGAGGCAGCAGUAGGGAAUCUUCCGCAAUGGACGAAAGCCUGACGGAGCAACGCCGCGUGAGUGAUGAAGGCUUUCGGGUCGUAAAACUCUGUUGUUAGGGAAGAACAAGUGCUAGUUGGAUAAGCUGGCACCUUGACGGUACCUAACCAGAAAGCCACGGCUAACUACGUGCCAGCAGCCGCAGUAA
rnacentral:rRNA from 1 species